UGGUGGAGUGAUUUGUCUGGUUAAUUCCGAUAACGAACGAGACUCUGUCCUGCUAACUAGGUUGUGUUUUCGCGGGUUGGUGUUCUGGUGUUCCUUCUCGGGGCGCCGGCCCAAUCCACUUGUGAACACAACACUCUUCUUAGAGGGACUGGCGGCUGUUAGCCGCACGAGAUAGAGCAAUAACA
rnacentral:rRNA from 1 species